rnacentral:ncRNA from 1 species
CUACAAACUUGAUUGUAUUAAGCGUUGGUAUGGGAACAUGCUAAUAAGUGGUAACUUCCAAAUUCAAAUAAACCCUAGAACUAAAAGAAGGCCAAUCUUGAGCCAUUCCCGUGUUUUGAGAAAACAAAUGUUUCUCAAACUAGAAAAACAAAGUAAACGAUAUGUGCGAAUACUCAAUGGAAGUUAUUCUAACAAUUGAGUUAAUUACAUGCGUUGGCAGUGGAACUCCCUUCUAAAUUAGAGAAAGAAGG